CUUAGCGGCGGACGGGUGAGUAAUGCUUAGGAAUCUGCCUAUUAGUGGGGGACAACAUCUCGAAAGGGAUGCUAAUACCGCAUACGUCCUACGGGAGAAAGCAGGGGAUUCACUUUGUGACCUUGCGCUAAUAGAUGAGCCUAAGUCGGAUUAGCUAGUUGGUAGGGUAAAGGCCUACCAAGGCGACGAUCCGUAAGCGGGUCUGAGAGGAUGGAUCCGCCACACUGGAACUGAGACACGACCCAGACUCCUACGGGAGGCAGCAGUGGGGAAUAUUGGACAAUGGGGGGAACCCUGAUCCAGCCAUGCCGCGUGUGUGAAGAAGGCCUUAUGGUUGUAAAGCACUUUAAGCGAGGAGGAGGCUCUUUUGGUUAAUACCCAGGAUGAGUGGACGUUACUCGCAGAAUAAGCACCGGCUAACUCUGUGCCAGCAGCCGCGGUAAUACAGAGGGUGCAAGCGUUAAUCGGAUUUACUGGGCGUAAAGCGCGCGUAGGCGGCCAAUUAAGUCAAAUGUGAAAUCCCCGAGCUUAACUUGGGAAUUGCAUUCGAUACUGGUUGGCUAGAGUGUGGGAGAGGAUGGUAGAAUUCCAGGUGUAGCGGUGAAAUGCGUAGAGAUCUGGAGGAAUACCGAUGGCGAAGGCAGCCAUCUGGCCUAACACUGACGCUGAGGUGCGAAAGCAUGGGGAGCAAACAGGAUUAGAUACCCUGGUAGUCCAUGCCGUAAACGAUGUCUACUAGCCGUUGGGGCCUUUGAGGCUUUAGUGGCGCAGCUAACGCGAUAAGUAGACCGCCUGGGGAGUACGGUCGCAAGACUAAAACUCAAAUGAAUUGACGGGGGCCCGCACAAGCGGUGGAGCAUGUGGUUUAAUUCGAUGCAACGCGAAGAACCUUACCUGGGCCUUGACAUAGUAGAAACUUUCCAGAGAUGGAUUGGUGCCUUCGGGAAUCUACAUACAGGUGCUGCAUGGCUGUCGUCAGCUCGUGUCGUGAGAUGUUGGGUUAAGUCCCGCAACGAGCGCAACCCUUUUCCUUACUUGCCAGCAUUUCGGAUGGGAACUUUAAGGAUACUGCCAGUGACAAACUGGAGGAAGGCGGGGACGACGUCAAGUCAUCAUGGCCCUUACGGCCAGGGCUACACACGUGCUACAAUGGUCGGUACAAAGGGUUGCUACCUAGCGAUAGGAGUGCUAAUCUCAAAAAGCCGAUCGUAGUCCGAAUUGGAGCUCUGCAACUCGACUCCAUGAAGUCGGAAUCCCUAGUAAUCGCGG
rnacentral:rRNA from 1 species